rnacentral:rRNA from 1 species
CCGGCGAGUGGCGAACGGGUGAGUAAUAUAUCGGAACGUACCGAGUAAUGGGGGAUAACCAAUCGAAAGAUUGGCUAAUACCGCAUACGUCCUGAGGGAGAAAGCGGGGAAUCGCAAGACCUCGCGUUAUUCGAGCGGCCGAUAACUGAUUAGCUAGUUGGUGGGGUAAAGGCCUACCAAGGCGACGAUCAGUAGCGGGUCUGAGAGGACGAUCCGCCACACUGGGACUGAGACACGGCCCAG